GACGAACGCUGGCGGCGUGCUUAACACAUGCCAGUCGAACGGAAAGGCCCUGCUUUUGUGGGGUGCUCGAGUGGCGAACGGGUGAGUAACACGUGAGUAACCUGCCCUUGACUUUGGGAUAACUUCAGGAAACUGGGGCUAAUACCGGAUAGGAGCUCCUGCUGCAUGGUGGGGGUUGGAAAGUUUCGGCGGUUGGGGAUGUACUCGCGGCUUAUCAGCUUGUUGGUGGGGUAGUGGCUUACCAAGGCUUUGACGGGUAGCCGGCCUGGGAGGGUGACCGGCAAAAUUGGGACUGAGAUAAGGCCCAGACUACUACGGGAGGCAGCAGUGGGGAAUAUUGCACAAUGGGCGGAAGCCUGAUGCAGCAACGCAGCGUGCGGGAUGACGGCCUUCGGGUUGUAAACCGCUUUCGCCUGUGACGAAGCGUGAGUGACGGUAAUGGGUAAAGAAGCACCGGCUAACUACGUG
rnacentral:rRNA from 1 species